rnacentral:lncRNA from 1 species
CAGAGGCUUUGGAGAUUGACCCAGCUCCAGGCACAGGCUCUGAUUGGGCUAAGCCAAUCAUCAUAAUUCCAUCAGACCUUGCCCCAGACCUAAGUCAGUCAGCAUAUGGCUUUCCUUUAGUUCUAGCUAAAGGAACGAGAAUGGACACUUGAUCGAAUUGAGGCCAUAAGAGAUGAGGGAAGAUGCAAGGAGCUUCUGGAAAAGGUUAGAGCUACAGGAAACAGAUGGGCCUUGCCUCCUCUGGACAGUGUGUGACUCUGAGGACUGGUGACCCUGACAUCAGAGGAGGAUAGGGCUGAGAACUGGAGAGAAAUGGAACUGAAACAGACCCGGUGUGCCGGAGUCAGCAGCCCCAAAGCCCUCCCCAUUUCAGGAUUCACUUAAGAUUCCCAGUAUCUUCUGAGUUUUCUGGGUUUUGCACCCUAUGUAAUUACACCUGCUUAAAAUCCCCUUUCUUCCCCAGCCAAGGUCCUUCACUGAUGUGGGCUCCUGCCAAAUCUUGUCAGCCUCCAACUUACAUCUGAUCCCCAGCUGCUCUGAGUUUUCAUUCUCUGCAUACAUCAUGUUCCCAGGUGCCUCUAUGCCUUUCCAUGCGGCUGCUCUUUAUGCCUGGUUAGCCCUUCCCUCCUUCAUAUAGCCAACUGCUGCGCAUCUUUCAAGACUCCU